UUACCGAGGCUGCUGUCGCCAUGUUCCUGUCCGCGGUCACCUUUGUCAAGACCAAGUCAAAAACAAUUCUGGUGAAAAUGUUGAGCCAAGCUGGAAGAGGUUUUUCCUUCAACACUAAGAGAAGCCGACUGCGGGAGAAACUGACUGUCUUGCAUUAUGAUCCACUAGUGAAAAACAAAGUCCUCUUUGUGGAACAGAAAAAAAUACGCUCCCUCUAAACAAUGGAUUGAAAAUGAAUUUGAUUUAUAAAUGAGAAGACUGAGGGCGGGAUACUGAUUCAGAAAUUCUGCAGCGUGUAAUGAAAGAAGAGGAAAUGGCAUGGAAUCACUGCCUCCUGUGAUUUGAAGGCCAUUGUGAAGGAAAACAAUGCAGUGAAAGAAAGUUCUUCAUAUUAGGACAUAUAUCAUUGCAUCACAUUUAUUUAUCUUUCUGGAUAUUUUUAUAGCCCUUAAUAAAAAUAUUAAAAUAGCCUGU